rnacentral:rRNA from 1 species
AAGUCGAGGGGCAGCAUCAUCAAAGCUUGCUUUGAUGGAUGGCGACCGGCGCACGGGUGAGUAACACGUAUCCAACCUGCCGACAACACUGGGAUAGCCUUUCGAAAGAAAGAUUAAUACCGGAUGGUAUAGUUUUCCCGCAUGGGAUGAUUAUUAAAGAAUUUCGGUUGUCGAUGGGGAUGCGUUCCAUUAGGCAGUUGGCGGGGUAACGGCCCACCAAACCUACGAUGGAUAGGGGUUCUGAGAGGAAGGUCCCCCACAUUGGAACUGAGACACGGUCCAAACUCCUACGGGAGGCAGCAGUGAGGAAUAUUGGUCAAUGGACGAGAGUCUGAACCAGCCAAGUAGCGUGAAGGAUGACUGCCCUAUGGGUUGUAAACUUCUUUUAUACGGGAAUAAAGUGAGCCACGUGUGGCUUUUUGUAUGUACCGUAUGAAUAAGGAUCGGCUAACUCCGUGCCAGCAGCCGCGGUAAUACGGAGGAUCCGAGCGUUAUCCGGAUUUAUUGGGUUUAAAGGGAGCGUAGGCGGGUUGUUAAGUCAGUUGUGAAGGUUUGCGGCUCAACCGUAAAAUUGCAGUUGAUACUGGCGACCUUGAGUGCAACAGAGGUAGGCGGAAUUCGUGGUGUAGCGGUGAAAUGCUUAGAUAUCACGAAGAACUCCGAUUGCGAAGGCAGCUUACUGGAUUGUAACUGACGC